rnacentral:rRNA from 1 species
UAGCAUAUAAGUAAGCGGAGGGCAAGAAACUAACAGGACCCUCAUAGUAAUGGCGAAUGAACAGGGGAAGAGCUCAGCAUGGAAAUUGGGGCUUGCGGCUUUGACUUGUAAUCUUGUGGCGCAUUGCCAACAGAGGCGCAGAUGUAAGUCUCUUGGAAAAGAGCAUCACUGAAGGUGAGAAUCCUGUUUGUCAUUUGCAGUUCCCCUGUGCACGGUGUGUCUUCUUAGAAUCACGUUCCUCGGGAUUGGAGCGCAAAGUGGGUGGUAACUUUCAUCUGAAGCUAAACAAUGGUUUGGGACCGAUAGGAAACAAGUACCAUGAGGGAAAGGUGAAAAGGACUUUGGAAAGAGAGUUAAAAGUGCCUGAAAUUGCUGAAAGGGAAGCGAAUGGAACCAGUGGUGCUGGGUGAGAUUGUCAUGUGCUGCAAGGAUUAGUUGUUGCAUCAGCGCAAGUGAUAUGGCAACUAUUGAACUGCCAGUGUGUGGUGUGUCUUGCCUUGUGUGUCAUUGUGGCUUUAUGCAUUAAGACAAUUCAUUGCACAUGGAAUGUGUUUCUGAAUCUAUGAAUGUGUUUUGUGAUGUUUGUGCAUAGAGUUGUUGUUGUUUGUCCUGCUCCAAAGUUUGCCAUCUUCAACUUAUGCUGUGGGUGAGCUAGCUGAUGCUUCUGCACAGAUCUUGAUAAAUGGUUAUC